AUACGGAGGGUGCAAGCGUUAAUCGGAAUUACUGGGCGUAAAGGGUACGUAGGCGGUUAAAUAAGUUGGAUGUGAAAGCCCCGGGCUCAACCUGGGAACUGCAUUCAAAACUGUUUGACUAGAGUGUAUGAGAGGUUGGCGGAAUUCCAGGUGUAGUAGUGAAAUGCGUAGAUAUCUGGAGGAACAUCAGUGGCGAAGGCGGCCAACUGGCAUAACACUGACGCUGAGGUACGAAAGCGUGGGGAGCGAACGGGAUUAGAUACCCUAGUAGUCC
rnacentral:rRNA from 1 species